UUAGCUAGUUGGUGAGGUAACGGCUCACCAAGGCAACGAUGCGUAGCCGACCUGAGAGGGUGAUCGGCCACACUGGGACUGAGACACGGCCCAGACUCCUACGGGAGGCAGCAGUAGGGAAUCUUCCGCAAUGGACGAAAGUCUGACGGAGCAACGCCGCGUGAGUGAUGAAGGCUUUCGGGUCGUAAAACUCUGUUGUUAGGGAAGAACAAGUGCUAGUUGAAUAAGCUGGCACCUUGACGGUACCUAACCAGAAAGCCACGGCUAACUACGUGCCAGCAGCCGCGGUAAUACGUAGGUGGCAAGCGUUAUCCGGAAUUAUUGGGCGUAAAGCGCGCGCAGGUGGUUUCUUAAGUCUGAUGUGAAAGCCCACGGCUCAACCGUGGAGGGUCAUUGGAAACUGGGAGACUUGAGUGCAGAAGAGGAAAGUGGAAUUCCAUGUGUAGCGGUGAAAUGCGUAGAGAUAUGGAGGAACACCAGUGGCGAAGGCGACUUUCUGGUCUGUAACUGACAA
rnacentral:rRNA from 1 species